rnacentral:rRNA from 1 species
UACGUAGGGGGCUAGCGUUGUCCGGAAUCAUUGGGCGUAAAGAGCGCGUAGGCGGCCAGAUAAGUCCGGUGUGAAAGUCACAGGCUCAACCUGUGAAUGCCGCUGGAAACUGUCUGGCUAGAGUCCGGGAGGGGCGAGUGGAAUUCCUGGUGUAGCGGUGAAAUGCGCAGAUAUCAGGAGGAACACCGGUGGCGAAGGCGGAUCUCUGGGCCGGUCCUGACGCUGAGACGCGAAGGCGUGGGGAGCGAACGGG